rnacentral:misc_RNA from 1 species
AGUUCUCAACUUCACCGAUUUGCUUCGAGUGAAGCUUGGACUUGGAGUGUGCUGGCCCCUGGGGGGUCGGCUCCUCUUUAAAUGCAGCAGCGGGAGGCAUCUUUGACUUUCCGGCAUCGGCGUGAUAAUCGUGUUGCGCCGUUGGGCCGAGGUCUCAGUCCGCUUACAAUGGUCUCAGGACGACGAUUGAAAC